AUUUCAACUUUCGAUGGUAGGAUAGAGGCCUACCAUGGUGGUAACGGGUAACGGGGUGUUAGGGCACGACACCGGAGAGGGAGCCUGAGAAACGGCUACCACAUCCAAGGAUGGCAGCAGGCGCGCAAAUUACCCAAUCCCGACACGGGGAGGUAGUGACAAUAAAUAACAAUACGGGGUUCUUUCGGAUUUCGUAAUUGGAAUGAGUACAAUUUAAAUCUCUUAACGAGGAACAAUUGGAGGGCAAGUCUGGUGCCAGCAGCCGCGGUAAUUCCAGCUCCAAUAGCGUAUAUUAAAGUUGUUGCAGUUAAAAAGCUCGUAGUUGAAUUUCGGGAUCAUCAGGUUGGUCGUGCCUCUGGUAUGUACUGAUUUCGAUGGUUCCUCCUUCUUGAAGAGCCGUAAUGUCAUUAAUUUGGUGUUGCGGGGAAUCAGGACUGUUACUUUGAGAAAAUUAGAGUGUUUAAAGCAAGCUAACGCUUGAAUACAUUAGCAUGGAAUAAUGAAAUAGGACGUUCGAUCCUAUUUUGUUGGUUUCUAGGAUUGACGUAAUGAUUAAUAGGGAUAGUUGGGGGCAUUAGUAUUCAAUUGUCAGAGGUGAAAUUCUUGGAUUUAUUGAAGACUAACUACUGCGAAAGCAUUUGCCAAGGAUGUUUUCAUUAAUCAAGAACGAAAGUUAGGGGAUCGAAGACGAUCAGAUACCGUCGUAGUCUUAACCAUAAACUAUGCCGACUAGGGAUCGGAUGAUGUUAAUUUUUUAAUGACUCAUUCGGCGCCUUACGGGAAACCAAAGUGUUUGGGUUC
rnacentral:rRNA from 1 species